CCAUAUGCAGGGAGUCGAACCUCUGCAGCCUCCUCGGGGGCGACGGCGGCACCUUCACCGACGCAAACGCAGAGCCCGCUUCAGCAGCCCCAUUGCCGUUUGUUUUCAGAGGCUCAGCCAUCGUGGAGGCACACACCGGGUGGGCCCAGGCAUGACAACAGGCCCUGUGACGUCUCAACCAGAAGCCAGCCACACAUGCCAUCUCACCAUCAGACCCGUCAAGGGCUUUGAACAGUGUGUAACAGACGGCCCAAACCGGCAGGCAAAAGGAUUGACCCGCGGUGCCGUGCGCCCGACUCGAGCAGCCGUUCUAGGCGAGCGGAAGACGACAAGGCAACAGCAGGCCCGCCCGGUGGUUUCAACUCCCUUUCGUGCGAAUUGCGAUGCGAUUCUCCCAAGCCGGAAGGCGGGCUUGACCGGACACACUGACUGACCAUGUACUCCGUAUCAUGUAUGCAUGCUUUCUCGCGCACGCAGGAUCUUCCCGGAGAACGGUCGUCCUGAUGGUGGCAUCCCAAGUGAUAGGCCACUUGCCUCGCCAAAGUGGCCUGGCUCUUUUGACCGCAUGCACAUGCGCGUGAUCUGAUCACAUCACCGAGGUACGUACUAUGUCUUGGGUUUUUCGCACGUCGAUUGUUGCUUGAACUUGGCUGCUUCUCCUCCUGCCAAAACUUUCCAGGCUUAGUCAGUCAGUCUCCGGUGCGUGUGGCAUGGGCAGUGGAUUAGGAGCGAGCAAGUAAACGCCGCAGCAUCGCUGCUGUGCUGCCAAUGUUCCACUGCCAGCGUAGCUUAUGGUGGUUUUACCAGUAAGUAUAGUUCAUUUUUGGGAUGCUAAUUACCAAUCAAGCGCACGCGGGAAUCUUUCGCCUCGGUAUUAUUUUGAACUCGCAAAAAUCUCCAUUUUUGAGUUUUGCUUUUGUAAGAAAUAAUUUGGGGGUUUCUUGAAUGGAAAUCGAGGAGGAGGCCUACCUUAUUUUAUUUUUUUGAGAAAGAGAAUCGCCUGAUGUUUCAAAACAAAAUCAAUAAAAAUCACAAGAGGGGAAAUAGUAUGCCUGUUGACUUCA